CCUCUUGGGAUGCUUACCAAGCACAUCUGUGCACAUCAUGAGAUGCAAUAAAAAUUGCAAUGACAAUGCUAGACAAACACCCACACACCCACUGCACAAGACGCUGGGCAGAUCCAGUGCCAUCCUGCUUGGAAGCAGAUACUACGUAACUGGGCUCUGUGCUGCCAUUGUUUUUCAGAUUAUGAGACAAAGAGGAAAUAAAAAUGAGAAUCUCUGAAAUACUCAGGCUACUCUCUUCACUUUAGGGAGGAGAGGGUAGCCAAUACAAAUUUCUCAUCAAGCACCUUCAUAAAACUUAAUCCCGAAGUUUUUCUUUGACAAAACGCACAGGUUGGAUAGCUAUUCUCUCCCCAUUGGUUUUUGAGGUAUGGGCCCAUGUAAACAUGACAAGUAGCCCCCAAUAAGCCAACAUUCAACAGCAGUUCCUCAAAUCUUGCUGCCAGCAGCGUUAGAGUGAUCCAUAUAAUUACAAAUUAGAUCCAUUUACUGGGGUCUGGUUGCCUAUGCAAGAGCUUGCCUUCCAUAUAUAAACAUAAUUGUGAUAAAUCUGGACUCAACAGCCAUGGGGCAUUCUGAAGAUGAUAUCUAGAGGUUGCCAUGACAACUCCCUAGAAUUCCUGCUGUCUUUUCAUGGUAGAGUUCCUAGCUAAAGCCUGGAAGGUAUCUGAAAUAAAUCAUCAAAAGGUGGGACAGCUGGAAUUGGUCCAUGGAAGAAAUCCAAGUAUGCGGUUCAUAAGUCCUGUGGCUUCCAAGAAACUUCCCUUCCUCUUGGUGUACCUGGGAGCUCUCUGCCUGACUCAUCCUCUCACCAGUAUGCUGGGGCCACCUAGAGCAAGGGCAACAACCUCUUGCUGUCCCCUGUGUGUCUUUACAGGCCAAAGGCAAGUGCGUAACCCCUUCUGAGGGAGACCUCUGGACCUGAGCGUUCUCAAGACGCACUAGGUCCGAGGCAUCCUCCAGCAUCCCUUCGAAGGAGAGAUGGAACCUCUUCUCCCUGCUUCACUAAGCAAGAAGGCCACGGGCUAGAACAAGUCGCGGCUGUGACUGCUUUUGCGACCCUGCAUCGCGGCCUCUGUUGGGUGAAGGGGGCAGUACUCAGCUAAGGAUGGAGGAGCAGGUGCAUGUUGUUUCCCUCCCAUCCCCAGUCAUGAAAAUAAACGUUCCAUCUGUCUUUCUCA
rnacentral:lncRNA from 1 species